CCAUUACAUGGUACAUGUAUUCAAAUAACCGUCUUUUAGCUAAGCUUGUGAUGGAUUUGCUUUUUUUCUGAAAAAGCUG
rnacentral:snoRNA from 1 species